rnacentral:rRNA from 1 species
CCUACGGGCGGCAGCAGUCGAGAAUCAUUCACAAUGGGGGAAACCCUGAUGGUGCGACGCCGCGUGGGGGAAUGAAGGUCUUCGGAUUGUAAACCCCUGUCAUGUGGGAGCAAAUUAAAAAGAUAGUACCACAAGUGGAAGAGACGGCUAACUCUGUGCCAGCAGCCGGGGUAAUACAGAGGUCUCAAGCGUUGUUCGGAAUGACUGGGCGGAAAGCGUGCGUAGGCUGUUUAGUAAGUCGGGUGUGAAAGGCGAGGGCUCAACCGGCGGACGGCACAUGGUACGGGGGGGCGAGAGUAAUGGAGGGGGGACCGGAAUUCUCGGUGUAGCAGUGAAAUGCGUAGAUAUCGGGAGGAACACUCGUGGCGAAGGCAGGUUCCUGGACAUUAACUGACGCUGAGGCACGAAGGCGAGGGGAGCGAAAGGGAUUAGAUACCCUUGUAGUC